rnacentral:tRNA from 1 species
GCUAUUUUGGCAGAUUAGUGCUUUAAAUUUAGAAUUUAAAAAUGUAAUUUUUUAUUACAAAUAGUA